rnacentral:rRNA from 1 species
UACGUAGGGGGCAAGCGUUGUCCGGAUUUAUUGGGCGUAAAGAGCGUGUAGGCGGCUAGGUAGGUCCGCUGUGAAAACUCGAGGCUCAACCUCGAGACGUCGGUGGAAACCAUCUAGCUAGAGUCCGGAAGAGGAGAGUGGAAUUCCCGGUGUAGCGGUGAAAUGCGCAGAUAUCAGGAGGAACACCAGUGGCGAAAGCGACUUCCUGGACCAAUACUGACGCUCAUGUGCGAAAGCGUGGGGAGCAAACAGG